CGUUGAGGCGGUUCUGUAAGUUGGGCGUGAAAGCCCCGGGCUUAACUCGGGGAGGUCGUUCAAUACUGCAGGACUUGAGGGCAGCAGAGGGAGGUGGAAUUCCCGGUGUAGCGGUGAAAUGCGUAGAGAUCGGGAGGAACACCAGUGGCGAAGGCGGCCUCCUGGGCUGCUCCUGACGCUGAAGGCGAAAGCUAGGGUAGCAAAC
rnacentral:rRNA from 1 species